rnacentral:rRNA from 1 species
GGGUUGUGAGGUUAAGCGACUAAGCGUACACGGUGGAUGCCCUGGCAGUCAGAGGCGAUGAAGGACGUGCUAAUCUGCGAAAAGCGUCGGUAAGGUGAUAUGAACCGUUACAGCCGGCGAUGUCCGAAUGGGGAAACCCAGUGCAAUUCGUUGCACUAUCGUUAACUGAAUACAUAGGUUAACGAGGCGAACCGGGGGAACUGAAACAUCUAAGUACCCCGAGGAAAAGAAAUCAACCGAGAUUCCCCCAGUAGCGGCGAGCGAACGGGGAGCAGCCCGGAGUCUGAAUCAGCUUGUGUGUUAGUGGAAGCGUCUGGAAAGUCGCAGGGUACAGGGUGAUACUCCCGUACACUAAAGCACACAGGCUGUGAACUCGAAGAGUAGGGCGGGACACGUGGUAUCCUGUCUGAAUAUGGGGGGACCAUCCUCCAAGGCUAAAUACUCCUGACUGACCGAUAGUGAACCAGUACCGUGAGGGAAAGGCGAAAAGAACCCCGGCGAGGGGAGUGAAAAAGAACCUGAAACCGUGUACGUACAAGCAGUAGGAGCCCACUGGUUGGGUGACUGCGUACCUUUUGUAUAAUGGGUCAGCGACUUAUAUUCUGUAGCAAGGUUAACCGUAUAGGGGAGCCGCAGGGAAACCGAGUCUUAACUGGGCGUUAAGUUGCAGGGUAUAGACCCGAAA